rnacentral:rRNA from 1 species
CCUACGGGUGGCAGCAGUGGGGAAUAUUGGGCAAUGGGCGCAAGCCUGACCCAGCAACGCCGCGUGAAGGAAGAAGGCUUUCGGGUUGUAAACUUCUUUUGUCAGGGACGAAGCACGUGACAGUACCUGACUCCUACGCCACGGCUAACUACGUGCCCGCAGCCGCGGUAAUCCGUAGGUGGCAAGCGUUCUCCGGAUUUACUGGGUGUACAGGGCGUGUAGGCGGGACUGCAAGUCAGAUGUGAAAACCACGGGCUCAACCUGUGGCCUGCAUUUGAAACUGUAGUUCUUGAGUACUGGAGAGGCAGACGGAAUUCGUGGUGUAGCGGUGAAAUGCGUAGAUAUUAGGAGGAACACCAGUGGCGAAGGCGGUCUGCUGGACAGCAACUGACGCUGAGGCGCGAAAGCGUGGGGAGCAAACAGGAUUAGAUACCCGGGUAGUC